CGGCCGAGGGCGGGGCAGGGAGGCAGCAUGCUAAACCGGGUGCGCUCGGCCGUGGCGCACCUGGUGAGCUCCGGGGGCGCUCCGCCUCCGCGCCCCAAAUCCCCGGACCUGCCCAACGCCGCCUCGGCGCCGCCCGCCGCCGCUCCAGAAGCGCCCAGGAGCCCUCCCGCGAAGGCUGGGAGCGGGAGCGCGACGCCCGCGAAGGCUGUUGAGGCUCGAGCGAGCUUCUCCAGACCGACCUUUCUGCAGCUGAGCCCCGGGGGGCUGCGACGCGCCGAUGACCACGCGGGCCGGGCUGUGCAAAGCCCCCCGGACACGGGCCGCCGCCUGCCCUGGAGCACAGGCUACGCCGAGACCCUGUUCUGCCCCAGAGCCCGGAGGGCGGAGAGCCCGGCGAAGGAUGAGUUGGCCAGUUCCCCGUCGCGGCCCGGCAGCUUAAAGGCUAAGGGAAAAGGGGUUUCACGAAGGAGCGGGGUUCUUUUUAAUAGGGGACAUAGCGGUUGGGAAGACUCGCUCACCCGCUUCCCGGCUCCAGCGCCCCAGUUCCCUGUCCCUCUUACCGUAGUUCCCCUCCCCCUCCACACCCAGAAAUAGCCCGCGACACCAGGAGGCCGCCAGCUUCCCCAGGAGCGGGGAGGGGGACGCCCGGGGUAGAGGAGGGUCCCAUUUAGAUGCCCUUCAGCCUGCCAACUCGUGCUGGCCUGGCAAAGAAGCGGACCCCCUGCCCGGAGCGGCCGGCUGGCCCCCGGGCUGUGUGUAUUUUAAAUGCAUCUGCCGGGAACGCAGAGCACCGAGGGAGAUGGGGGCGCUCAGUUCGCUGAGGAAGGUGGCUGGUGGCCCAUGGACC
rnacentral:lncRNA from 1 species